GACGAACCGAGCGAACGUUGUUCGGAAUCACUGGGCUUAAAGGGCGCGUAGGCGGGUGCUCAAGUCUGUGGUGAAAUCCUCCAGCUUAACUGGAGAACUGCCAUGGAUACUGGGUGUCUCGAGGAACGUAGGGGUAUGCGGAACGAUUGGUGGAGCGGUGAAAUGCGUUGAUAUCAAUCGGAACUCCGGUGGCGAAGGCGGCAUACUGGACGUUUUCUGACGCUGAGGCGCGAAAGCCAGGGGAGCAAACGGGG
rnacentral:rRNA from 1 species